UGCAAGUCGAACGGAGAAUUUUAUUUCGGUAGAAUUCUUAGUGGCGAACGGGUGAGUAACGCGUAGGCAACCUACCCUUUAGACGGGGACAACAUUCCGAAAGGAGUGCUAAUACCGGAUGUGAUCAUCUUGCCGCAUGGCAGGAUGAAGAAAGAUGGCCUCUACAAGUAAGCUAUCGCUAAAGGAUGGGCCUGCGUCUGAUUAGCUAGUUGGUAGUGUAACGGACUACCAAGGCGAUGAUCAGUAGCCGGUCUGAGAGGAUGAACGGCCACAUUGGGACUGAGACACGGCCCAAACUCCUACGGGAGGCAGCAGUGGGGAAUCUUCCGCAAUGGACGAAAGUCUGACGGAGCAACGCCGCGUGAGUGAUGAAGGAUUUCGGUCUGUAAAGCUCUGUUGUUUAUGACGAACGUGCAGUGUGUGAACAAUGCAUUGCAAUGACGGUAGUAAACGAGGAAGCCACGGCUAACUACGUGCCAGCAGCCGCGGUAAUACGUAGGUGGCGAGCGUUGUCCGGAAUUAUUGGGCGUAAAGAGCAUGUAGGCGGCUUAAUAAGUCGAGCGUGAAAAUGCGGGGCUCAACCCCGUAUGGCGCUGGAAACUGUUAGGCUUGAGUGCAGGAGAGGAAAGGGGAAUUCCCAGUGUAGCGGUGAAAUGCGUAGAUAUUGGGAGGAACACCAGUGGCGAAGGCGCCUUUCUGGACUGUGUCUGACGCUGAGAUGCGAAAGCCAGGGUAGCGAACGGGAUUAGAUACCCCGGUAGUCCUGGCCGUAAACGAUGGGUACUAGGUGUAGGAGGUAUCGACCCCUUCUGUGCCGGAGUUAACGCAAUAAGUACCCCGCCUGGGGAGUACGGCCGCAAGG
rnacentral:rRNA from 1 species